GACGAACGCUGGCGGCGUGCUUAACACAUGCAAGUCGAACGGAAAGGCCCUGCUUUUGUGGGGUGCUCGAGUGGCGAACGGGUGAGUAACACGUGAGUAACCUGCCCUUGACUGUGGGAUAACUUCAGGAAACUGGGGCUAAUAUCGGAUAGGAGCUCCUGAUGCAUGGUGGGGGUUGGAAAGUUUCGGCGGUUGGGGAUGGACUCGCGGCUUAUCAGCUUGAUGGUGGGGUAGUGGCUUACCAAGGCUUUGACGGGUAGCCGGCCUGAGAGGGUGACCGGCCACAAUGGGACUGAGAUACGGCCCAGACUCCUACGGGAGGCAGCAGUGGGGAAUAUUGCACAAUGGGCGGAAGCCUGAUGCAGCAACGCCGCGUGCGGGAUGACGUCCUUCGGGUUGUAAACCGCUUUCGCCUGUGACGAAGCGUGAGUGACGGUAAUGGGUAAAGAAGCACCGGCUAACUACGUG
rnacentral:rRNA from 1 species